GAUGAACGCUGGCGGCGUGCUUAACACAUGCCAGUCGAACGGACAGGCUCCUGCUUGCAGGGUUACUCGAGUGGCGCACGGGUGAGUAACACGUGGGUGAUAUGCCCUGCACUUCGGGAUAAGCCUUGGAAACUGGGUCUAAUACCGGAUAGGACGAUGGUAUGGAUGCCAUUGUGGAAUGUUAUUUCGGUGUGGGAUGAGCUCGCGGCCUAUCCGCUUGUUGGUGGGGUAUUGGUCUACGAAGGCGUAGACAGGUAGCCGGCCUGGGAGGGUGUACGGCCACAAGGGGACUGAGAGACGGACCAGUCGCCAACGUGACGCAGCAGUGGAGAAUAUUACAGAAUGGGCGCAAGCCUGAGGCAGCGACGCCGCGUGGGGGAUAACGUCCUUCGGGUGGAAAACUCCUGUCGCUAGGAGCGAAGCGCAAGUGACGGUACCUGGAGAGGAAGCAACGGCUAACUACGUG
rnacentral:rRNA from 1 species